rnacentral:lncRNA from 1 species
GGGGCUGACUCCUGCCACACACACAGCGGUGGCCGCGGGCCUGGGGCGGCAGCACAGCCAUUCUGCUCGGGCUGCGUGAAGCUGACCCCGCUCUCUGUGCACCUACUUUUGCUGCGUUUGGUGCUGAGCCUGAAGUCCCAGGACAGGCGGCUGAGGGGGAAAGAUGGUGUGAAUUGGGUGGGCAGAGACAACUGAAAGCCACAGGACCCGGUUGGCACCUUUUUGGCCGCCUGGGCCUUUGCCUGCAGCCCCGCUCCCUGGGUCACCCGAAGGAGGAGCUGGCGCUCUUACCGGGCGCAGAAGCACCCGACCUACGCUGGAGGAAACGGUCCCCCUGGGCAGGAGAAGCUUUGGGCUUGGCUGGAGCACACUCACGGAACCACGCCAACGCCUGGCCUGUAGCCAGCUCCCACCUCCCCUCCCACCUUCUAAAAUGCUUGCGGAUCUCACGUGGCCGACCCUAACCAGAUACACAUGGGGAAAGGAAUCAGGUGGCACACACACUGCCUUUACUCCAUAGAGAACUUCCAAUUGUGGGUCAGCACAGACGCAACGCAGUCUCCUCCCACCUCC